rnacentral:rRNA from 1 species
AAAGGAAUAGACGGGGACCCGCACAAGCGGUGGAGCAUGUGGUUUAAUUCGACGCAACGCGAAGAACCUUACCUGGACUAGAAUGUGAGGGAAGAGAGGGUAAUUCCGAUCGUCUGGGAAACCAGACCCAAAACAAGGUGCUGCAUGGCUGUCGUCAGCUCGUGUCGUGAGAUGUUGGGUUAAGUCCCGCAACGAGCGCAACCCUUAUCAACAGUUGCCAUCAUUAAGUUGGGAACUCUGUUGAGACUGCCGUUGAUAAAACGGAGGAAGGUGGGGAUGAUGUCAAGUCAUCAUGGCCUUUAUGUUCAGGGCUACACACGUGCUACAAUGGAUGGUACAAAACGUCGCAAUCUCGCAAGAGGGAGCUAAUCGCAAAAACCAUUCUCAGUUCGGAUUGGAGUCUGCAACUCGACUCCAUGAAGUUGGAAUCGCUAGUAAUCGCAAAUCAGCAUGUUGCGGUGAAUACGUUCCCGGGUCUUGUACACACCGCCCGU